UACCAGCACCCCGAGUGGUCGAGACGAUUAUUGGGCCUAAAGCAUCCGUAGCCGGUCCUACAAGUCUUCCGUUAAAUCCACCUGCUCAACAGAUGGGCUGCGGAAGAUACUAUAGGGCUAGGAGGCGGGAGAGGCAAGCGGUACUCAGUGGGUAGGGGUAAAAUCCUCUGAUCCAUUGAAGACCACCAGUGGCGAAGGCGGCUUGCCAGAACGCGCUCGACGGUGAGGGAUGAAAGCUGGGGGAGCAAACCGGG
rnacentral:rRNA from 1 species